rnacentral:rRNA from 1 species
GAUGAACGCUGGCGGCGUGCCUAAUACAUGCAAGUCGAGCGAACGGACGAGAAGCUUGCUUCUCUGAUGUUAGCGGCGGACGGGUGAGUAACACGUGGAUAACCUACCUAUAAGACUGGGAUAACUUCGGGAAACCGGAGCUAAUACCGGAUAAUAUUUUGAACCGCAUGGUUCAAAAGUGAAAGACGGUCUUGCUGUCACUUAUAGAUGGAUCCGCGCUGCAUUAGCUAGUUGGUAAGGUAACGGCUUACCAAGGCAACGAUGCAUAGCCGACCUGAGAGGGUGAUCGGCCACACUGGAACUGAGACACGGUCCAGACUCCUACGGGAGGCAGUAGUAGGGAAUCUUCCGCAAUGGGCGAAAGCCUGACGGAGCAACGCCGCGUGAGUGAUGAAGGUCUUCGGAUCGUAAAACUCUGUUAUUAGGGAAGAACAUAUGUGUAAGUAACUGUGCACAUCUUGACGGUACCUAAUCAGAAAGCCACGGCUAACUACGUGCCAGCAGCCGCGGUAAUACGUAGGUGGCAAGCGUUAUCCGGAAUUAUUGGGCGUAAAGCGCGCGUAGGCGGUUUUUUAAGUCUGAUGUGAAAGCCCACGGCUCAACCGUGGAGGGUCAUUGGAAACUGGAAAACUUGAGUGCAGAAGAGGAAAGUGGAAUUCCAUGUGUAGCGGUGAAAUGCGCAGAGAUAUGGAGGAACACCAGUGGCGAAGGCGACUUUCUGGUCUGUAACUGACGCUGAUGUGCGAAAGCGUGGGGAUCAAACAGGAUUAGAUACCCUGGUAGUCCACGCCGUAAACGAUGAGUGCUAAGUGUUAGGGGGUUUCCGCCCCUUAGUGCUGCAGCUAACGCAUUAAGCACUCCGCCUGGGGAGUACGACCGCAAGGUUGAAACUCAAAGGAAUUGACGGGGACCCGCACAAGCGGUGGAGCAUGUGGUUUAAUUCGAAGCAACGCGAAGAACCUUACCAAAUCUUGACAUCCUUUGACAACUCUAGAGAUAGAGCUUUCCCCUUCGGGGGACAAAGUGACAGGUGGUGCAUGGUUGUCGUCAGCUCGUGUCGUGAGAUGUUGGGUUAAGUCCCGCAACGAGCGCAACCCUUAAGCUUAGUUGCCAUCAUUAAGUUGGGCACUCUAAGUUGACUGCCGGUGACAAACCGGAGGAAGGUGGGGAUGACGUCAAAUCAUCAUGCCCCUUAUGAUUUGGGCUACACACGUGCUACAAUGGACAAUACAAAGGGCAGCGAAACCGCGAGGUCAAGCAAAUCCCAUAAAGUUGUUCUCAGUUCGGAUUGUAGUCUGCAACUCGACUACAUGAAGCUGGAAUCGCUAGUAAUCGUAGAUCAGCAUGCUACGGUGAAUACGUUCCCGGGUCU